UACGAAGGGGGCUAGCGUUGCUCGGAAUCACUGGGCGUAAAGGGUGCGUAGGCGGCGCGGUAAGUCGGGUGUGAAAUCUUGGAGCUUAACUCCGAAACUGCAUUCGAUACUGCCGUGCUUGAGGACUGGAGAGGAGAGUGGAAUUCCCGGUGUAGCGGUGAAAUGCGUAGAUAUCGGGAGGAAUACCGGUGGCGAAAGCGACUCUCUGGACGGUAACUGACGCUGAGGCACGAAAGCGUGGGGAGCAAACAGG
rnacentral:rRNA from 1 species